GACAGAGGGUGCAAACGUUGUUCGGAAUUACUGGGCGUAAAGCGCGUGUAGGCUGCUCGGAAAGUCAGGUGUGAAAGCUCCGAGCUCAACUCGGAAAUGGCAUUGGAAACUACCUUGCUCGAGGGUUUGAGGGGGGACUGGAAUACUUGGUGUAGCAGUGAAAUGCGUAGAUAUCAAGUAGAACACCAGUGGCGAAGGCGAGUCCCUGGAAAACUCCUGACACUGAGGCACGAAAGCUAGGGGAGCAAACAGG
rnacentral:rRNA from 1 species